rnacentral:rRNA from 2 species
UUGGACCUGAUAUCAGGCAAGAUU